AGGGGAAAAUGCGGUCUCCCCUUGAGACCUCGGUUGAAGCACUGC
rnacentral:ncRNA from 1 species